rnacentral:rRNA from 1 species
UACGAAGGGGGCUAGCGUUGCUCGGAAUCACUGGGCGUAAAGGGUGCGUAGGCGGGUCUUUAAGUCAGGGGUGAAAUCCUGGAGCUCAACUCCAGAACUGCCUUUGAUACUGAGGAUCUUGAGUUCGGGAGAGGUGAGUGGAACUGCGAGUGUAGAGGUGAAAUUCGUAGAUAUUCGCAAGAACACCAGUGGCGAAGGCGGCAUCCUGGACCAACACUGACACUGAGGAGCGAAAGCCAGGGGAGCAAACGGG